GUCAAUUAAAGCAUUAAAGGGAUGCCUAAACAUCAAAAAAAGGACGUAAUUAAAAACGAAAUGCUAAAAUGAGUGCUUUGCAUUUAGACUUUUAGAUCUCCAUAAGGAAAACCUGUUUUAUAUAAUUGAAACUUAAUAAAUUUAGUGAAUUGAAUCAUCUUAAUAACUAAAUAAAAAAUCAACCGAGAAACCGUUAGUAGUGGCGAGCGAACGCGGUAAAGACUUUUUAAUUUAUUUUUAAUUACUUUUGAAUAAAAACACUUAGCCAUAGAAGGAAACAUAAUUUAAAUAUGCAAGCCCUGUAAAAAGUAUAAAAUAAAUUAUAGUGUAAAUUGAUACAAGUGGUGUAUUGAUUGAAAAAUGGGGACCCACCCUCAAAGUCUAAAAUUUUUGAUGCUUGAUAGUGAAUAAGUACUGUGAAGGAAAGGUUAAAAAGAAUUUGCGAAUACUGAAAGAACGCUGAAAUUUAAUGCUAACAAUCAGUUAGAGCUUUUUAAAAGUGAUAACGUACUUUUUGCAUAACGGAUCAACGAGUUUAUUUUAGUGGCGAGCUUAAGCUUUAAAGUGUAGGCGAAAAGAAAUUAAAUAUGAAAAGUGUAUUUUAGUCUCUAACAUAAGACCCGAAACUAAGUGAUCUAACCAUGAACAGGUUGAAAUUUUAAGUGUUACCACUUAUUGAAAGACCGAACCCGUGUAUGUUGAAAAAUACUGGGAUGAUUUGUGGUUAGGGGUGAAAGGCCAAUCAAACUUAGAGAUAGCUGGUUUUCUGCGAAAUCUAUUUUAGUAGAGCGUUUAUAAACUUUGUUUUAAGGUAGAGCACUUAAUAACUGAUGGGGGCACAUCGCUUUACUGAAUUUAUUAAAACUCCGAAUAUAGAAUAAAAGAUUAUAAGCAGACAGACUAUGGAUGCUAAGGUCCUUAGUCAAAAGGGAAACAGCCCAGACUAUUAGUUAAGGCCCUAAAAAAUAGUUAAGUGCGAAAGAAAGUAAAAAAAUAAUGACAACCGAUAGGUGGGCUUGGAAGCAGCCAUCCUUUAAAGAAAGCGUAACAGCUCAUUGGUUUAAUUUUUUUGCAUCGAAAAUGUAUAAGGUCUAAAACUAUUUGCCGAAACUAUAGAUUUAAAUUUUUAAAUGGUAGCAGAACGUUCUGUAUAUUUAAGAAGAAAUAUGGUAACAUAUUUUGGAAAAAUCAGAAGUGAGAAUGUUGAUAUGAGUAACGAUAAACAAUGUGUAAAACAUUGUCGCCUUAAAUUCAAGGUUUCCGAAAAAAGGCUAAUCCGUUUCGGUAAAAAUAAAUCGGUCCCUAAGAAAAAAACGAAAGUUGUAUUUAAUGGGUUUUUAAAAGUGACAAACAGUAAAUAUAAUUUUUAUUUAAUGGUUUAUAAAAGUUAUAUAACUGUUUCAAGAAAUAGCUUUUAAAUAAGAACCGUACCCUAAACCGACACAGGUGAAUGAAUUUAGUAAAUCAAGGCGCUUGAGAUAAUUAUGUUGAAGGAACUCGGCAAAAUUACUUCGUAACUUCGGAAUAAGAAGUGGCUUUUAAAGGGCAACCUUUAAAAGCUGUCACACAAUCGGGGACAGCGACUGUUUAACAAAAACACAGGUCUCUGCUAAUUCGUAAGAAGAUGUAUAGAGACUGACGCCUGCCCGGUGCUGCAAGAAUAAUAGAAAAAGUUUUGGCUUUAACUAGAAAUCCCAGUAAACGGCGGCCGUAACUCUGACGGUCCUAAGGUAGCGAAAUUCCUUGGCAUUUAAUUGGUGUCCUGCAUGAAUGGCGUAACGACUGUCCCACUGUCUCCAACAUAAUCUCAGUGAAAUUGAAAUCUCCGUGAAGAUGCGGAGUACUUGCGGCUAGACGGAAAGACCCCGUGCACCUUUACUAUAAUUAUACAUUGUAAUAAAAGAUUAUAUGUAUAGUAUAUGUGGGAAUCGUUAAAAAAUAUUUACACAAGUAAAUUAUUUAGAUGUCAAUGAAAUACCACUCUUAUAAUCUCUUCUAUUACUAAUUCUUGUUAAAACAUUGUAUAAUGGGUAGUUUGACUGGGGCGGUCGCCUCCUAAAG
rnacentral:rRNA from 1 species